rnacentral:rRNA from 1 species
UACGGAGGGAGCUAGCGUUGUUCGGAAUUACUGGGCGUAAAGCGCGCGUAGGCGGACCAUCAAGUCGGGGGUGAAAUCCCGGGGCUCAACCCCGGAAUGGCCUUCGAGACUGGUGGUCUUGAGUUCGAGAGAGGUGAGUGGAAUUCCGAGUGUAGAGGUGAAAUUCGUAGAUAUUCGGAGGAACACCAGUGGCGAAGGCGGCUCACUGGCUCGACACUGACGCUGAGGCGCGAAAGCGUGGGGAGCAAACAGG